rnacentral:rRNA from 2 species
GCGAGUGAAGCGGCAACAGCUCAAAUUUGAAAGCUGGCUUAGGCCCGCAUUGUAAUUUGCAGAGGAUGCUUUUGGUGAGGUGCCUUCCGAGUUCCCUGGAACGGGACGCCAUAGAGGGUGAGAGCCCCGUAUGGAUGGCCACCAAACCUGUGUAAAGCUCCUUCAACGAGUCGAGUAGUUUGGGAAUGCUGCUCUAAAUGGGAGGUAAAUCUCUUCUAAAGCUAAAUACCGGCCAGAGACCGAUAGCGCACAAGUAGAGUGAUCGAAAGAUGAAAAGCACCUUGAAAAGGGGGUUAAACAGUACGUGAAAUUGUUGAAAGGGAAGCGCUUGUGACCAGACUUGCGCCGGGCGGCUCAUCAGGGGUUCUCCCCUGUGCACUCCGCCCGGCUCAGGCCAGCAUCGGUUCUCGUGGGAGGAUAAGAACGGUAGGAACGUGGCCCCCCUCCGGGGGGGUGUUAUAGCCUACCGUACGAUACUCUCGUGGGGACCGAGGUUCGCGCUCCGCAAGGAUGCUGGC